UGCGCCCUCGGCAUCGGCGCCCACGUCGAUUGCUUUUUUAAAACGGGAAAUAGCCGGGCCCAUUCCGGUGUCUUGGAAUUCCGGAUUUAAUUUAACUCUAGCUGGCCGUUAUAGGCAUCCCCUGUUGUCAUUUUCUGUUUCCGGUUGUGCUGCUGUGGUAUUUCCGUCUGUGGCGUUUGGAAGCUCGUACCUUAUUUUUUAACUGCAGGGUGCGGUGAUGAACGUGGGACAGCGGGGAGUUAGGAGUUAGUUCAUUAAGAAUUAGGUAAUUAGGUCUGAUGAUGUUCUUUCAUAAUCUGUAACAAAUGUUACACAAUAAUAUAAGAUGUCGGUGGAGCAGUGAUGUAUUGGAAUUCUGCAUGAUUGUUUUAUGCCAGCCAUGUUUUCUGGUUGUGUGCCCCUUCUUGCAAGAUUGAGAAUAAGUUCUUUUCAUCUCCACAAUCGGGUGAGCCUUGUUUUCUUCUAGAAGAAGAUUUAUUUCUUACACAGUUGACAGAACUUUCCAUCUCACCCUAAUUUAAGUUACAGCUGCAAGCUUCUAGAAAGUCUACAAAACUGUUUGCAGUAGUUGAGAGUUGGCGCUUCCAUUGCAGAGCAAUCCACUA
rnacentral:lncRNA from 1 species